AUCCCGAACUCGGCCGUGAAAGGCGACCGCGCCGAUGGUACUGCGUCUUAAGGCGUGGAAGAGUAGGUCGCCGCCAGGU
rnacentral:rRNA from 1 species